rnacentral:rRNA from 1 species
CACGUAGGGUGCGAGCGUUGUCCGGAAUUAUUGGGCGUAAAGAGCUCGUAGGCGGUGUGUCGCGUCGGCCGUGAAAACCUGCAGCUUAACUGUGGGCUUGCGGUCGAUACGGGCAUCACUGGAGUUCGGCAGGGGAGACUGGAAUUCCUGGUGUAGGCGGUGAAAUGCGCAGAUAUCAGGAGGAACACCGGUGGCGGAAGGCGGGUCUCUGGGCCGAUACUGACGCUGAGGAGCGAAAGCGUGGGGAGCGAACAGG